ACGGGAGGCAGCAGUGGGGAAUAUUGGGCAAUGGGGGAAACCCUGACCCAGCAACGCCGCGUGAAGGAAGAAGGCCUUCGGGUUGUAAACUUCUUUUACCAGGGACGAUAAUGACGGUACCUGGAGAAAAAGCAACGGCUAACUACGUGCCAGCAGCCGCGGUAAUACGUAGGUGACAAGCGUUAUCCGGAUUUACUGGGUGUAAAGGGAGCGUAGACGGCAAGGUAAGUCUGAAGUGAAAUGCCGGGGCUCAACCCCGGAACUGCUUUGGAAACUAUCUCGCUCGAGUACCGGAGGGGUAAGCGGAAUUCCUAGUGUAGCGGUGAAAUGCGUAGAUAUUAGGAGGAACACCAGUGGCGAAGGCGGCUUACUGGACGGUAACUGACGUUGAGGCUCGAAAGCGUGGGGAGCAAACAGGAUUAGAUACCCUGGUA
rnacentral:rRNA from 1 species